rnacentral:rRNA from 1 species
CCGCGUGAGUGAUGAAAGGCCUUCGGGUUGUAAAGCUCUUUCGGCGGGGAAGAUGAUGACGGGUACCCGCAGAAGAAGCCCCGGCUAAACUUCCGUGC